CUCCGAUCCACUGCUCUUCGAGAUAUAUCCAAAGACAAAACUAGGAGGAGAGAUCUAGAGCACGACGAAUACAUUGGUUUUUCUUUUUCAGGUAGAUUUUGAAGUUGGAGGGUAAUAUUUUCCAUUAGCUAUUAAAUUUCUGUUUUAGUUUUCUAUUUUUUUAUUUUUUUUUGUUAUUAAGACUAGUUCUGUCUUUUACUACAUUUAAUUAGAGUGGAAUUAAAAUAUAACUUUCUUUUUUGAAAGAAAAUAAAUAGAGGAAAUUUUAUGUCUUA